rnacentral:lncRNA from 1 species
GCUUUUCUUCAUUCGUAAAUACAAACUGCUGCAAGUUUCUUAUAUUGCAUUGUUCAUACAUACAUUACGUGUGUUUGUGUAUUGAGUGUGUGUAUUGUUUGGGGCCUGAACCAACAUUUGGUAUCAGAGCCUAGGGCUCGUAAAGACAGAGAAAGACGGUUUGAGAGUCGGUUUCGAGAAAGGGUGUAGCCCUUGGCUGUGGGGAAAACGCAACAGGAAGAAACCGAGUUUCGGUAGUUAUUCUUCGCAGCCUAUUUUCGGGUUUUCAAAACAGGGUAUUUGCGGGUGUUUUGGGACAGCAGGGGGGCUGUUUCGGUGUCGUUUUACAGCAGAAGACGGAGGCGUUAUGGUGUUUUCGGUAGGCCGUUGUUGUGGUAGACGUACCGGUUAAGCCGACGGGGGUGACCGGUGAUAAACACUUGUGUUCCGUGGCUAUUAGUAGUGAUCAAAAGAAGGUUCAAGGCUGUUCGGAUGUUAGUUGCGGGUUUGCGCAAGCUGUUAUACAAGGGUGACAACAGCAGAAUGUUUUGCGGAAGCCUUGAUCGGAUUGUUCGUGAUAAGAGGAGACCGGUGUAGUGCGUGAAAAGCGGGAAGAAUGGAUCCGUCAAAGCAGGCGGCUUUGGAUUCGUCUCGUUUGGCAAGGUGAGAAAACGGAAGAAGCGGGUGGCUUGUUUUCUUUGUCGGUGGAUAGUCUCUUGAACAAGGUGAUCGGAAAAAGGUUGUAGAAAAAAAGGGAGAACACGGUGGUGACAUUAUGGCGUUGGAGUUCACUCGGGUGGCUUUGGAUGUGACCGGGGAAGGUUGUUGAUCCGUGAUAAGUCGUGAUGUUAAUGAACGGUGUUCCAACGUUAUGCCAUGUUACAUGUUACGGGCGUGGUGUUUCUUAUUCGGGUUGAACCGAGACACUGGACGUGAUCGAGGUGAAAAUCGGGUGUCCGUUAGAUGUCAUAGUGGUUCGAAACCGAGGUGAUUCGGUGCUGCGGUGACGGGUGUAAACAAACCGAUUAAGGGGGUGAAUGUUGGGUUAAUCGGUUCAGUUUACGGGUCAUUGGUUCGGCACAUUAUCGGGUCACGGUUCGAAUGGUUAUUUGUUUACGGGUAACGCGAGUCGUACGUAGGUCGCGGGUUCAAUUCGGGUCAGAUGGUUACGGGUCAAGCGUGCAAGUUGUUUACUAGUAGUAAAUGGGUCAAGUAAAUCCAUGGGUUUGAUCUAAUUAGUUUCUUGACGUUUGAUUUAGAAGAGUGGGUAGAAAGAUUUGACCACUUCUUAUGGUGGUGCACGUUGGAAGAUAGGGUCGUUAGUCCUUACCGGUUUUUUAGUAAAUAUUAGUAUUUUAUUAUUCCCCCACGUUGUUGAUUUGUAAGGCUAUUAAUAGUUGAUUUGUUUAAUGAAUUAUGAGCAGCUUUUCUUCAUUCGUAAAUACAAACUGCCUCAAGUUUGACUGUGAAGUGUUCUCGGGUCUCGCAUUUGGGUAUUCGGGUUAG